GAUGAACGCUGGCGGCGUGCCUAAUACAUGCAAGUCGAGCGGACGGACGAGAAGCUUGCUUCUCUGAUGUUAGCGGCGGACGGGUGAGUAACACGUGGAUAACCUACCUAUAAGACUGGGAUAACUUCGGGAAACCGGAGCUAAUACCGGAUGAUAUUUUGAACCGCAUGGUUCAAAAGUGAAAGACGGUCUUGCUGUCACUUAUAGAUGGAUCCGCGCUGCAUUAGCUAGUUGGUAAGGUAACGGCUUACCAAGGCAACGAUGCAUAGCCGACCUGAGAGGGUGAUCGGCCACACUGGAACUGAGACACGGUCCAGACUCCUACGGGAGGCAGCAGUAGGGAAUCUUCCGCAAUGGGCGAAAGCCUGACGGAGCAACGCCGCGUGAGUGAUGAAGGUCUUCGGAUCGUAAAACUCUGUUAUUAGGGAUGAACAUAUGUGUAAGUAACUGUGCACAUCUUGACGGUACCUAAUCAGAAAGCCACGGCUAACUACGUG
rnacentral:rRNA from 1 species